UCUAACCUGCAACGACGACGAAACCGUUUCCCCCAAAUGAAUGCCUACGGUCAAGUGGAAUAGCCAAGGGGGUAGGAGGCUGAGUGCCAGGUCACUGAGGCAAGACUACGCAGGGGAGGGGGACUAGGUCUUUAAAGAACCUUCAGUUCUGAAAUUAUGUGUGACAGGGUCUAGGUUUCAAUUUAAAAUAUAGACAAAACCCUGAAAUACGAUACACAGUGAGUAAUUGGAAAUGAAAACCACAGAAGAAGAUGCCUUGUACAUCCCACAACCCAUCCGGUCACUUUGAGGGAGCUGUGGUUUACUCCUCCUGGCCUCAGCUAGGGGCUCGCGUGCUACAAGGCAACAGCAAAAGCGCAGACCAAAGGCCUUCCCUCUGCCCAUCUGCCAGGGUCCAGUACAACCCGUGGAAAAAUUAUCCGAGUGCCUGGAUGAAAAAUGCAAGGACAAAAAGCAGCUGUCCUCUAAUACAAUCUUUAGAAGAGUCCUUUUAACAGUUGUGCCUGUUGAACAAAUGCAGCAUUAUGGAAAGACAAGGGCUGUGGUCACGGGCACAGGGCUGGCAUUCAGUCUGCGACAUGAGAUCCUGGCCCCCACACUUCCUCGGAUGGGACUGUGGGUAGGUACCUCUCCCCCAAGCCAGAGCCUUCGCACCUGUCAAGUCAGAACAACCAGACACUGCGUUUUUCUUUCUAGGCCUUUUCAAGAUAUACUUUUCAAUGUCUAGAAUUAUAUCUAAAAAAGGAACCAAGAGGCUGGUCUUUAACUAAAAUGUCUUUUUCUUAUUAAACAGACAUCAUAACUCAUCUCCCAGGAUUAUGGGGAUAACAAGCAAAUAUCUGAAGCCUUCAGGCCAGUGCCCAGCACACCCAGGAAGCUUGUUCAAAUGUGGUUUUCUUUAGGCCUGAGCCCCUGGAAACUUUUCCCCAGUCCGGCACCAGGCCCAGGUGGGACGGGGAGCCAAUGCGCUGGACCCUCUCCCAAACCUCUCUGGCAUUCCUGUCUCAGACUAGGCACUGGAAUUACAGAUGUUCUUUUCUGAUCAUGCCACUCUCUCACCCUGUUUUGCAACACUCUUCGGAGCAGAGUGGACCUGACUGCUGCUCCUUCUGCUGCUCUAGGACCCCUUCAGCCAGUCGUCCUGGCCGCACGGAAGGCCUCCUGAGCCCUGCGUCCUAGGGUCCUAGACCCCGCACAUGGGGGCCUGUUCACAUACGAUCACAUUAAUGAGAACCGGUAACACACGGCACCAGUUGAAUGGCGGUCACUGCGAAGCACUCUGUGUGUUUAGUCAUUUAACCCUCCCGGCGCCCUGGGAGGGGUGGGUAUCGUGCUCCUUUCCUGAAGAGGAACUGAGGCCCUGGGAAGGUCAGCAGCCUAACCCAAGGGGGCACAGCUGGUAAGUAGCUGAGCCUGGGUUUGAACCGGGUAUCCAGUCUCAGAGUCUGCACACUAAAUCUCUACUUGGGCUGCCUUGUGGGCCGGGGUCAGAUCUGACCGCGGAGAGAUCCGUGCCGAACUCUCUUUUGCCAAAAGCUCCAGCUCCGCAGCACGACCACCUUCACUGAGCUUCCAGACACCAAGAACACCUGGGAUCGCAGGACAAUACAGACCUAAGUGGUGCCCCCCCCCCCGCCACCCCCACUGUACUGUAAUCACAUCCCUUCAGAUUAUUAUUUCAGCCGUCCCUUUUAGGGACUGUUCCACGGCUGGACACUCGGACUGUUCCCUUGCAAGCAAUGCAGAGCUGAGCAGCAGGACAAUGAAACUGAAGGAGAAAAACCCAGCAAAGGUCUAAAUCGUGGAAACAAAAAUAUAUGCGUUUCAACUCCAUUUCUAUUAUAAAUGUGAAGGGGGAGCCACUCUUCCAAUCCUGGAUUCAUGUAAGCGCGGAGCUCAGAGGUCAUCUGGUCCACACAUACACCGAUGGGCAAGUAAGGCCCGGGGUCCCCUGCCUUGUUUCUCCUCACAUAUCCUCGUGGUACAGAGUUUCUAAGAAGGUGGGACAACACUGAAGUAGAAGAACCAGGACAAGAAAUGAGAUCGCUGAACCCUUAACACAGUAUUCUUCCCAGGCUGUCCCUUGACUUGAGACUGGAACAGUUCUUUAUGCUAAAAGGUUUUAUUCUUUGACAGCCACAAAAGCAAUAAAUAUAUAUUACUUAAUAAUCAGUUACAGUUAAUACUGUGGAAGUCGUUAUUUGGGCCUUGAUAGCUGCCUUAGGCUGGUUGGGAUCCCCAUCCCUUUGCAUGCAUUAAUAAUACACAACCACAAGACCAACCAGAUAAAAGCCUGACUUAAAAAAAAAAAAAAAAACUUCAACCAAGCAAAGGUCCUGAAAGCCAGAGUCAAGGGCGUUACUUAGCUCUGCAUGGCUCAGUGGCCCACGUGACUAUCUGCAUCUAAUCAUACACACGUGACUUACCUUCGUGUUCUUCCUUUUCAGAGUUUUUGACAUCUGGACUUCUUUAAGCUGCACAAAAGAAAAAAAUAUCUGUGUGCAUUUUCCAAAAUUAAAAUGUUUAUUAACUUACGAUCUAUUGCAUUUAGUUUAAAAACAACCUGUGAAACAGGAACAGUUCUAAUGAGCUCUUUACCAUGUCACCAGCACAUGAGAUCUUUUCUAGGAUAACCGUCCGCUGCCGCAGGAGGAGCGUACAAAUGGAGACUGACAAAUUUAUGUCGACAAACUUACCGUUUUGAUGAGUUCUUCUUUCAUAUUAGAAUGAAAUUUUUUGAUGGCUUCCUUAAAAAUUUUAGA